rfam:Oryza nivara chromosome 5, whole genome shotgun sequence.
AAAAAAUAAAAUCCUGGUUUCCGUGUCUAACGUUUGUCGACCGUCCGUCUUAUUUAAAAAAAUUAUGAAAAAAAGUUAAAAAGACAAGUCACGCAUAAAAUAUUAAUCAUGUUUUAUCAUCUAACAACAAUGAAAAUACGAAUUAUAAAAAAAUUUCAUAUAAGACGGACGGUUAAAGUUGGACACGGAAAGCCAGGGUUUGCUUUUUU